rnacentral:rRNA from 1 species
UACGGGGGGGGCAAGCGUUGUUCGGAUUCACUGGGCGUAAAGGGUGCGUAGGUGGCCGGUUAAGUCUGACGUGAAAUCUCCGAGCCUAACUCGGAAGCUGCAUCGGAAACUAUCCGGCUCGAGGGUUGGAGGGGGGACUGGAAUACUUGGUGUAGCAGUGAAAUGCGUAGAUAUCAAGUGGAACACCAGUGGCGAAGGCGAGUCCCUGGACAACUCCUGACACUGAGGCACGAAAGCUAGGGGAGCAAACAGG